rnacentral:rRNA from 1 species
CCUACGGGAGGCAGCAGUGGGGAAUCUUGCGCAAUGGGCGAAAGCCUGACGCAGCAACGCCGCGUGCGGGAUGAAGGCCUUCGGGUUGUAAACCGCUUUCAGCAGGGAAGAAAUUGACGGUACCUGCAGAAGAAGCCCCGGCCAACUACGUGCCAGCAGCCGCGGUAACACGUAGGGGGCGAGCGUUGUCCGGAUUUAUUGGGCGUAAAGAGCUCGUAGGCGGUUCGGUAAGUCGGGUGUGAAACCUCCAGGCUCAACCUGGAGACGCCACCUGAUACUGCUGUGACUAGAGUCCGGUAGGGGAGUGUGGAACUCCUGGUGUAGCGGUGAAAUGCGCAGAUAUCAGGAAGAACACCAGCGGCGAAGGCGGCACUCUGGGCCGGUACUGACGCUGAGGAGCGAAAGCGUGGGUAGCAAACAGGAUUAGAUACCCUGGUAGUCCACGCCGUAAACGUUGGGCACUAGGUGUGGGUCUCAACCACGAGAUCGUCGCGCGAGCUACGACAUAGUAGCCCGCCGUCGGUAGGUACGGCCGGCGACGACGUAAACGUACGAACGUAGAGUAAGUACGGUCGUUGAGACGUUGCCGACGGACGACGACGAGGGAGGAGG